rnacentral:rRNA from 1 species
GACGUAGGAGGCAAGCGUUGUUCGGAAUUACUGGGCGUAAAGCGUCCGUAGGCGGCCAACUAAGUCAGACGUGAAAUCCCUCGGCUUAACCGGGGAACUGCGUCUGAUACUGGAUGGCUAGAGUUUGGGAGAGGGAUGCGGAAUUCCAGGUGUAGCGGUGAAAUGCGUAGAUAUCUGGAGGAACACCGGUGGCGAAGGCGGCAUCCUGGACCAACACUGACGCUGAGGAGCGAAAGCCAGGGGAGCAAACGGG